GACGAACGCUGGCGGCGUGCUUAACACAUGCAAGUCGAACGGAAAGGCCCUGCUUUUGUGGGGUGCUCGAGUGGCGAACGGGUGAGUAACACGUGAGUAACCUGCCCUUGACUUUGGGAUAACUUCAGGAAACUGGGGCUAAUACCGGAUAGGAGCUCCUGCUGCAUGGUGGGGGUUGGAAAGUUUCGGCGGUUGGGGAGGGACUCGCGGCUUAUCAGCUUGUUGGUGGGGGAGUGGCUUACCAAGGCUUUGACGGGUAGCCGGCCUGAGAGGGUGACCGGCCACAUUGGGACUGAGAUACGGCCCAGACUCCUACGGGAGACAGCAGUGGGGAAUAUUGCACAAUGGGCGGAAGCCUGAUGCAGCAACGCCGCGUGCGGGAUGACGGCCUUCGGGUUGUACACCGCUUUCGCCUGUGACGGGGCGUGAGUGACGGUAAUGGGUAAAGAAGCACCGGCUAACUACGUG
rnacentral:rRNA from 1 species